rnacentral:tRNA from 1 species
GCCUAGGUGGCUCAGUUGGUUGAGCAUCCGACUUCAGCUCAGGUCACGAUCUCAGAGUCCGUGGUUUUGAGCCCCACAUUGGGCU